CAUAAAGUGAUCAAGCUCCUUACGAUCCAUAUUUCCGAUUCCAAUGGAAGAGUAUUUGUGAAGAACGCAUUGCAAUUGUUGAAGUUGAGCAUCGAUUCUCGGAAGCUGGUUCACCGUCGUCGCAAUUCGGAGACGGUCGCUAGUCGGAGACGAUCGCAAUUCGGAGACGCUAUCUUCAUCUUCUUCUUCCUCUGUGAAUCGCGGGAACGCUAUUUCCUGCUGAAGAUAGUCGUGAAAAGCCAUGAAUAA